rnacentral:lncRNA from 1 species
ACUUCUCUGAGAUGAGGGCGGCAACAGGAGCAAAUGCGAGCAGACAGCUGGGUGUGUCCCUUUCCAGCAGAGGGGUGGGUUGUGGCCCCUCUUGGUAGUUUAAUCAGCUGUUCUUUGGGUGCCUUUGAAUAAUAAUUGGACAAGUCAAGGUGGGAUUCAUUUACUCAGAGUCAUAGCCUCUCUCUGGGGGAGGUUGCUAUAGUCCCUAGGGACCCAGUUUAACAAGUUUUUGAGCCCACAGUCCCAGCAAGAAUGGGUUUGAGGUCUAUAAUUACCCCAAACUUUAAAAAUCAGCUUUGCAGCAGAUCUGGAGGAUCGUCCCUUUGCUGUACCCCAGUGGCAGAAGUUCUGCAAGAUGACCUGGGAAUAAAGUUGGCCAAGAAGCCUCCGAGGGGAGAUCGGCGUGUGAGGUGGAGAGCCCCGCGUCUACAUGAGGUGUGAGAUCCCAACAGGUUGACAAUGGAAGCAGAGCUGAGAAUCCGGUCAUCUUAUAUUAAGCCAGAUGCUAAAAAGGUUUGAAAAAAUCAAUGGACUCAGGCUGGUCUCCAACUCCUGACCUUAGGUGAUCCGCGUCGGCCUCCCAAAGUUCUUGGAUUACAGGCGUGAGCCACCGCACCCAGCCAGGCAGACUGAUUUCAAUUCUUUUGGUUAUACACCCAGUAGAGAGAUGGCGGGAUCACAUGGUAGUCCUCUUUUUAAUUUUUUUGAGAAAACUUCAUACUGUUUUCUAUAAUGGCUGUACUAAUUUACAUUUCCAUUAGCAGUGUGCCAGGGUUCCCUUUUCCCCACAUCCUCACCAACACUUGUUUUCUUUUGUCUUAAUAAAAGCCAUUCUGACAGGUGGGCGGUGAUACCUCAUUGUGGUUUUGAUUUGCAGUUCCUUGAUGAUUAGUGAUAUUGAACAUCUUUUCAUUUACCUGCUGGCCAUUUGUAUGUCUUCCUUUGAGAAAUGUCUAUUCCUGAAUAGCUUUUGCCCAUUUUUUAACAGAGUCUUUUAAAAUAUUGAGUUGUUUUAGGUCCUCAUGUAUUUUAGAUAUUCCUUAUCAGAUGUAUGGUUUGCAAAUACAAUAUUUCCUCUCAUUCUGUAGGUUGUCUCUUUACUCUGUUAAUUUUUCCCUUUGCUGGACAAAAGCUUAGUUUGAUGCAACCCAUUCGUCUAUUUUUACUUUGGUCACUUGUGGUUUUUGAGUCAUAUUUUAAAAAUCAUUGCCCAGGCCAAUGUUAUGAAGCUUUCUCCUAUUUCCUUCUACUAGUUUUACAGCUUCAGACCUUAUGUUUAAGUCUUUAAUCCAUUCUGAGUUGAUUUUUAUCUAUGAUGUGAGAUAAAGGUCCAAUUUCAUCCUUCUGCAUGUGGACAUCCAGCUUUCUCAAUAUCAUCUAUCGAAGAAAUUGUCUUUUCCACAUGUAUGUUCUUAGUACCUCUGCUGAAAAUCAAUUGAUGUUAAUAAAUUCAGUCAAGUUGCAGGAUGCAAAAUCAACAUACAAAAAUCAAUAGGAU